AGAGCGAACGCUGGCGGCAGGCCUAACACAUGCAAGUCGAACGGACCCUUCGGGGUUAGUGGCGGACGGGUGAGUAACACGUGGGAACGUGCCUUUAGGUUCGGAAUAGCUCCUGGAAACGGGUGGUAAUGCCGAAUGUGCCCUUCGGGGGAAAGAUUUAUCGCCUUUAGAGCGGCCCGCGUCUGAUUAGCUUGUUGGUGAGGUAAUGGCUCACCAAGGCUACGAUCAGUAGCUGGUCUGAGAGGAUGACCAGCCACAUUGGGACUGAGACACGGCCCAAACUCCUACGGGAGGCAGCGAGUGGGGAAUCGUUGCGC
rnacentral:rRNA from 1 species